rnacentral:rRNA from 1 species
UACGUAGGGUGCAAGCGUUGUCCGGAAUUAUUGGGCGUAAAGAGCUCGUAGGCGGUUUGUCGCGUCUGCUGUGAAAACCUAGGGCUUAACUCUGGGCGUGCAGUGGGUACGGGCAGGCUAGAGUGCGGUAGGGGCAGAGGGAAUUUCCGGUGGAGCGGUGAAAUGCGUAGAGAUCGGAAAGAACACCAACGCGAAAGCACUCUGCUGGGCCGACACUGACACUGAGAGACGAAAGCUAGGGGAGCGAAUGGG